UACGAAGGGGGCUAGCGUUGCUCGGAAUCACUGGGCGUAAAGGGUGCGUAGGCGGGUCUUUAAGUCAGGGGUGAAAUCCUGGAGCUCAACUCCAGAACUGCCUUUGAUACUGAGGAUCUUGAGUUCGGGAGAGGUGAGUGGAACUGCGAGUGUAGAGGUGAAAUUCGUAGAUAUUCGCAAGAACACCAGUGGCGAAGGCGGCUCACUGGACCGGUUCUGACGCUGAGGCGCGAAAGCGUGGGGAGCAAACGGG
rnacentral:rRNA from 1 species